rnacentral:rRNA from 1 species
GAUGAACGCUGGCGGCGUGCCUAACACAUGCAAGUCGAGCGAACAGAUGAGGGGCUUGCUGGUGUCGCGUUGGCGGCGGGCGGGUGAUAAACACGUGGAUGACCUACCUAUAAGACUGACGUAACUUCGGGAACGCUGAGCCAAUACCGGAUAAUAUAUUGAACCGCAUGGUUCAAUAGUGAACGACGGUUUUGCUGUCACUUAUAGAUGUAUCGGCGCCGCAUUAGGUAGUUGGUACGGUAACGGCUUACCAAGGCAACGAUGUGUAGCCGACCUGAGAGGACGACCGGCCACACUGGGACUGAGACACGGUCCAGACUCCUACGGGAGGCAGCAGUAGGGAAUCUUGCGCAAUGGGCGAAAGCCUGACCGAGCAACGCCGCGUGAAGGAUGAAGGUCUUCGGAUCGUAAAACUCUGUUAUUAGGGAAGAACAAAUGUGUAAGAAUCUAUGCACGUCUUGACGGUACCUUAUCAGAAAGCCACGGCUAACUACGUG